rnacentral:lncRNA from 1 species
CACCGAAGACCACAGCCCCACGAUCUCUCUCCCUUCGCCCGUCUACCCUCUUUCACGCCACUUGUCCGUGUGCCAUCUUUGUUCGGUCAACUUCAACAAUCCACCGAAGCUGCUCCAUCUACGACCGCACGCCAACGCAUCUUCAUCUCUGUUUCACUCCUUGGCUGCCAGCCCACUCGUCCAGUCAACAACGACACCCUCAGAAGUCCCUUGGUUGACUGAAACUACGGCCACACGUCCGAAGCAGCUGCACCGAAGAUCCGCAUCCCCUCCUCGUGUCUUCAGCCCAUCGGGGUCAACUACAGCAGGUGUGAUGACCGCCAAUCUCCACUUCUUUGCACGAACAGAGGAGUCCAUCGAAAUUUGAUCCAGCAGCUUCAUCGUGCGAUCCCCUCUCCACGCGGCCAACGUCCAGCUCCUUCUGCCUCGUGUCUUCAUCUUCACCGCCAGUAGCUGCUUUCCUCAUGCGCCAGCGAAGUCCAAGCAAGGCAGCACCAUUGUCCACGAAG